rnacentral:rRNA from 1 species
AAUGAACGCUGGCGGUAUGCCUAAUACAUGCAAGUCGAACGAGAAAGUCCAGCAAUGGAUAAGUAAAGUGGCGUACGGGUGAGUAAUGUAUAGGAAUCUACCUGAUAGUGGGGAAUAAGCACUGGAAACGGUGUCUAAUACCCCAUAUUACCAUUUAUUUGGGAAAGGGUUAGUUUUCUAGAUAUGAUUCCAAAAUUAGAUUCUGCAAAGAAUCUUUAGAAGGUUUGGAAGUGAGCGCCGUAGAUGUACAUCUUGGUACAUGCGGAGCAGAGCAACGAAUCGAUAAUAGAGUUCAAAGUAAAAAUGAUUUUGGAAUCAUGUCCAGUGACUAACCUGCUAUCAGAUGAGCCUAUAUCGGAUUAGCUAGUUGGUGGGGUAAAGGCCUACCAAGGCAAUGAUCCGUAGCUGGUCUGAGAGGGUGAUCAGCCACAUUGGGACUGCGACACGGCCCAAACUCCUACGGGAGGCAGCAGUAGGGAAUAUUGGACAAUGGGCGAAAGCCUAAUCCAGCAAUACCGCGUGAAUGAUGAAGGUCUUAGGAUUGUAAAGUUCUUUCGGUGGGGAAGAUAGUGACGGUACCCACAGAAGAAGCACCGGCUAACUUCGUGCCAGCAGCCGCGGUAAUACGAAGGGUGCUAGCGUUAUUCGGAAUCACUGGGCGUAAAGCGCGUGUAGGCGGUUUAAUAAGUUAGCUAUGAAAUCCCCGGGCUUAACCUGGGAACUGUAGUUAAAACUAUUUUACUAGAGUAUAGUAGGCGAUGGCGGAAUUCUUAGUGUAGGGGUAAUAUCCGUAGAUAUUAAGAGGAACACCGAUGGUGAAGACAGCUAUCUAGACUGUAACUGACGCUAAAGCGCGAAGGCAUGGGUAGCAAACAGGAUUAGAUACCCUGGUAGUCCAUGCAGUAAACGAUGAUUACUAAGUGUCUGGAUUUUAGAUCUGGGUGCUAAAGCUAACGCGUUAAGUAAUCCGCCUGAGUAGUACGACCGCAAGGUUAAAACUUAAGGGAAUUGACGGGGACCCGCACAAGCGGUGGAACACGUGGUUUAAUUCGAUAGUCCGCGAAAAACCUUACCAACUCUUGACAUCCCGAUUACGAAGUCAGAAAUGACUUUUUCAGUUCGGCUGGAUCGGUGACAGGUGUUGCAUGGCCGUCGUCAGCUCGUGCCGUGAGGUGUUAGGUUAAGUCCUUUAACGAGCGCAACCCCUAUCUCUAUUUGCCAUCAGGUAAUGCUGGGAACUAUAGAGAGACUGUUAGUGAUAAACUAAAGGAAGAUGGGGAUGAGGUCAGGUCAUCACGACCCUUAUGGGUUGGGCCACACAUAUGUUACAAUGGGAGUUACAGAGGGAUGCAAAGGGGUGACCCAGAGCAAAUCCCUAAAAGCUCUCUCAGUUCGGAUUGCAGACUGCAACUCGUCUGCAUGAAGUUGGAAUCGCUAGUAAUCGUAGAUCAGCACGCUACGGUGAAUACGUUCUCGGGU